GACGGGGGGUGCAAGCGUUAUCCGGAUUCACUGGGAGUAGAGCGUCUGUGGGUGGUGAUGCAAGUCACUGGUGCAAAACUCUGGCUCAACCGGAGGAAAGCCAGUGAAACUGCAUGACUAGAGUGUGGGAGAGGUAGAAGGAAUUCCCUGAGUAGCGGUGAAAUGCGUAGAUACAGGGAAGAACACCGGAGGCGAAAGCGUUCUACUGGAACACAACUGACACUGAGAGACGAAAGCUAUGGGAGCGAAGGGG
rnacentral:rRNA from 1 species